UCCCUGGUGGUCCAGUGGUCAGGACUCUGCACUUGCACUGCAGGGGGCUCUGGUUCGAUCCUUGGUCAGGAAA